rnacentral:rRNA from 1 species
ACGUGAUCUGAGUUCAGACCGGAGUAAUCCAGGUCAGUUUCUAUCUAUAAAGAGCCUCUUCCAGUACGAAAGGACCGAAAAAGCAUGGCCUAUACUCUAUGCAAGCCAUUUCUAAUAAUUUAUGAUUAAAACUUAAUAAAUGAUUUACCUUUAAAUUACCUCAAGAAAAGAGA